rnacentral:lncRNA from 10 species
CGCGGAGCUUAGCUGUCGCCACCUCGCGCCGGGUCCGCGCGGCCCACGGGACCCCCCACUGACGCCCCCGGCCAGCGGUCCACAUGGACGUGCGGGGCCCUGAAGCCCCCGGCGGGCGCGCGCUGCGGGACGCGGCAGAAAAUCUAUUUCAGGAACUUCAGGAACAUUUUCAAGCUCUGACGGCAACAUUAAACCUCAGAAGCAGAGCGCCUUAACACUGUACUGGAAGAAAUGGGAAAUCGCAUUGAGGACUUACAGAAGAAUGUCAAGGACUUAAUGGUGCAAGCUGGCAUUGAAAAUUCUAUUAAAGAACAAAUGCUGAAGACCUAACUGCAGCAUGUCUGUAUUUGGAGAUGGGGCCUCUACAGAAGUCAUUAAGGUUACAUCGGUCCUGAGGGUGGGGCCCUCAUCCAACAGGAUUCGUCUUUCUGAGAAGAGACGCAAGGGGCUCGCCUGCUCUCCCCUCCGUGCCUGCACCAGAGAAGGAGGCCAUCGGCAAGCCAAGGAGAGCCCUCCCCAGAAAUCACACGGACCAGCACCUUGAUCUGGGACUUCCAGAAAACAGAACUGUGAAAAGACAAGUUUCUGUUGUUUAAACCACCCAAUCUGAAGUAUUUUGUUAUGGCAGUCCUGGGCAGACUAAUACAAUAUGCAACACAUUUACAAUAAAUAUACAAUAAACUU